UACGAAGGGGGCUAGCGUUGCUCGGAAUCACUGGGCGUAAAGCGCACGUAGGCGGCUUGUUAAGUCAGGGGUGAAAUCCUGGAGCUCAACUCCAGAACUGCCUUUGAUACUGGCGAGCUUGAGUUCGGGAGAGGUGAGUGGAACUGCGAGUGUAGAGGUCAAAUUCGUAGAUAUUCGCAAGAACACCAGUGGCGAAGGCGGCUCACUGGCCCGGUACUGACGCUGAGGCACGAAAGCGUGGGGAGCAAACAGG
rnacentral:rRNA from 1 species